GCUACCCGGAUAAAAACGAACAAUUAAGGCUAUGGGAAAAACAAUUGAAAAACCACAGAUUCUUAUGUUAACAUUGCUUUCUAUUGUGAAUGUAUUGUACAGUAUUUUUAAAAUUUGAUUCUUUUUAAUGAUUACAAAAGAUUUACAUUAGAUUCCAUGGUUACAUACCCAAACAAUAGAUUAACAUUUGAAUUCUUUGUUACUGUUGGAUUCAGCGUUCAAACCAUUAGUUUACAAUAGAAUGUAUCAGUAACAUUGAAAUGUACUGUUUUUCAAUGGUCUGGACGUUUGAAAAAAAAGGGUUUUUGCUUGGGUUUUUGAGUAAUUCCGAAACAGUGUGUAUCGAUGACAGCCAAGUUUUGUUGUAGUCAGCUCGGUCGUCAGCGGUAAAAAAUUCCGAAUAGCAGUUUUGUGUGCGGAAAAUGUAGAAAAUUCACGCUCAGCUGCGUGAAUUUCCGCAUUUUCCUCACGGGAGAAAAUAUAGUGUGUGGUGCAGUGCUGAAUCAUUCAACAGUUGCGGCAUUUCAACAAUGACAAGGACGUCAAGCCGGUGCGCGGUGCAUAAGCAAUCAACCCAGAGCUUGUUGAAUGCCGAUCUAAGCAAGAUCUGCAUGAGGGCCAACGGACUUAUUGUAAAAAUACUAAUUUUCCCUUCCUUUAAUUUGACUGCAAUCUUGACUGCAAUAGUUUCAUCAUCAAACUUUUUUUCGUGAAAUCAAAUGUGAAACAUAUUACUGAGUAGGACCGUAGAACCAUCUUUUGCAUUUGGUAGCUUUGCAAGGUUUUUAAAUAUAGGUUCGCUCUUUAAACUUGGAACACAUGCAUGCCUUUGAAUCAAAUUCUAUAUUGUAUGCUGUAUUCCACAAGCUGUAGUUCAUCAAAUGUCCAUAAAUGCUACAAUAAUGGUUAAGCACGCUGUAAUGUUACUUUUGUACCUCAUCACCCACUAAAUGCAACUACAUUAGUGGUCUAAUAACACUUAGCGCGCUUCGGCACGGUUCCAUCAUGCCGCUUAUAGUGUUGCCACAUAUAAUGCUUAGUUUGCUAAACCCAGUUAUCUGGCUGGUGGGACAUGGGAGCCCAAGCUUCAUCCAUUAAUGCAAUUAGACGUUUAUUGAACAAUAAAAUGAGCGAUUCGAAUAUUUGAAGAACUUUUCAAAGAACAUAGAAGCUUGUGUAAAGUCAACAUUUAACGAACUUAAUCUAUGCAAUAUCUUGCAUUUUAACGCUUCGAAUGAUGUUCAAGUAUAGGUUCAAGUUGUAGUAUAUCGAGUUUUUUUAGUGCUACAAUAAUGGUUAAGCACGCUGUAAUGUUACUUUUGUACCUCAUCACCCACUAAAUGCAACUACAUUAGUGGUCUAAUAACACUUAGCGCGCUUAGGCACGGUUCCAUCAUGCCGCUUAUAGUGUUGCCACAUAUAAUGCUUAGUCUGCUAAACCCAGUUAUCUGGCUGGUGGGGCAUGGGAGCCCAAGCUUCAAUAAUUAAUGCAAUUAAACAUUACUCGAUUUACGACAUGAUUGAUUCAAAUAUUAGAUAAUUGUUCGAUCUGUGUUCUUAAAAUGUAGCCCUGAAUGUAGCAUAAAAUAUACAAGCUUCUAGUCCAAAUGCAUAAAGAUAGUUCAGAUUCACUGUUUUUCAGAAUUUUCUCAAGCAAUCAGUAACAAAAGUAAAAAGCAGAAAUAGAUCAAAUCAUGCCAAAAUGUUCAUAAUCGCUUGUAAAAUAAAACUAUUCCAAAACAUUAGAAUUUUCUGUUUCACAAUAGAAAACAAUUCCCAAACCUUUGGAUAGGGCAAAACAGUAUGUUCCGUAAUCACAAUUGAAAGCAAUUUCAGAACAAUAGAAUCUAAUGUGUAAUUAAGUCAGUGCUCAAAGAACAAUAUGAAAACAUAAGAAUCUUGUGUAUCACAAUAGAAAACAAUUCCCAAACCAUUGAAUGAAAUGUGGAAUCAGUAAUAAAAUUACUACUCAAAACAAUACGUUUACCGUGCAAUUCACUGUUUGAAACAAUUCGAAAACAUAAGAAUCUUCUGUAUCACACAAGGUAUCACAAUAGAAAACGAUACCCAAACCAUUGAAUUCAAUGUAAAUACAGUACAAACAGUAUGUUCUGUUUCACAAUAGAAAACAAUUCCAAAACAAUUGAAUCAAAUGUGGAACCAUAAAUAAAAUCACUACCCAAAACAAUA